rnacentral:ncRNA from 1 species
UUAUUGGAGAGUUUGAUCCUGGCUCAGGACGAACGCUGGCGGCAUGCCUAACACAUGCAAGUCGAACGAAACGGAGGUCGGUCAUCAGAGGUCAGAAGUCAGAUUGAGCUAACAUUAAUAGCUUCUAAAAUAUCUAAUUCUGACAUCCGAUUUCUGACGACUGACUUCCGUUUAGUGGCGGACGGGUGAGUAACGCGUGGGUAACCUGCCCAUAAGACUGGGAUAACACCGGGAAACCGGUGCUAAUACCGGAUACGUUCUUU